rnacentral:rRNA from 1 species
AGCACGAAGCAAACCUCAAGAUUAGAGCCGUUCCGCUUUAAGCGGACACAAUUCCUGGGAGAUUACCAGGUUGAUAGGCCGUAGGUGUAAGCACAGCAAUGUGUUCAGCCAAGCGGUACUAAUUAUUUGUGAAUCUU